rnacentral:rRNA from 1 species
UACGUAGGGGGCUAGCGUUGCUCGGAAUCACUGGGCGUAAAGGGUGCGUAGGCGGGUCUUUAAGUCAGGGGUGAAAUCCUGGAGCUCAACUCCAGAACUGCCUUUGAUACUGAAGAUCUUGAGUGCGGGAGAGGUGAGUGGAACUGCGAGUGUAGAGGUGAAAUUCGUAGAUAUUCGCAAGAACACCAGUGGCGAAGGCGGCUCACUGGCCCGGUACUGACGCUGAGGCACGAAAGCGUGGGGAGCAAACAGG